UCAUUAACGAAACUUCUGGACAAAGUAUAAUCCUACGCCAAUAGUGAUAAGGAUAGACCAUAGCUUUGACAAUUAUUCAUUCAACGUGAUUUGCACCAUUUUAUUCUUCACAAAAACUGAAGAUUUCAAGAAUCUGGGUGGAUUCAGCUCUGUAAAACUGAAGGUGAGGAGACAAAAAGAUUUCUUUUUUUGAGCAAAUUCCAGGAGUUUUCAGUUUUCUCUCAAUGGCUUUCUGUGCAUACCCAGUUUAAUCUACAUACAAUCUGAAGAUUUCAAGAAUUUGGGUGGAUUCAGCUCUGUAAAAAAUUGAAGGCCAAGGAAUUUUGGGUUGUUGAUGGAUCCUGCUCUGCCACAGAAUGAUGAAAGACUGGUAGUUUAUAAUGAAACAAGGGACUCCCUCAUAGCAAUAUCACAGGAGGAGCCCAUCUCCAGACCACAGCAGAUGGUUCAAGAGAAAGGGUAUGAUGAGAAGGAUAAGCAGGAAGAGUACAGAUUGAAGCUUAUUUCUAUUUCUUAUCCUGAUGAUGAUGGCACUGGCACACAGAAGGUGCAAUCUCUGAUUGCAGAGUAAUUACAGAGCAGUUUUGGGUUUUGAACAGAGGAACAAAGUUAGUAUAAACAACUCUUUCUUUUUUUUGACUGUUCAGUUGUGUUAUUUUCUUCUUGUUCUGUAAUCUAUGCCCAAGGGUUUGUGGAUUCUGAGAUCAUGGUGGUCUGUAAUUUUAUUAUAUGGAAUAAAUUCUGGCUUGGUUUUCA